GAUGAACGCUGGCGGCGUGCCUAAUACAUGCAAGUCGAGCGAACAGACGAGGAGCUUGCUCCUCUCACGUUAGCGGCGGACGGGUGAGUAACACGUGGAUACCCUACCUAUAAGACUGGGAUCACUUCGGGAAACCGGAGCUAAUACCGGAUAAUAUCUUGAACCGCAUGGUUCAAUGGUGAAAGACGGUUUUGCUGUCACUUAUAGAUGGUUCCGCGCCGCAUUAGCUAGUUGGUAAGGUAACGGCUUGUCAAGGCAACGAUGCGUAGCCGACCUGAGAGGGUGAUCGGCCACACGGGAACUGAGACACGGACAAGACUCCUACGGGAGGCAGCAGUAGGGAACCUUCGGCAACGGGCGAAAGCCUGACGGAGCAACGGCGCGUGAGUGAUGAAGGUCUUCCGAUCGGAAAACUCUGUUAUUGGGGAAGAACCAAUGUGGAAGUAGCUGUGCACGUCUUGACGGUACCGAAUCAGAAAGCCACGGCUAACUACGUG
rnacentral:rRNA from 1 species